UUGCCAGACUCCUACGGGAGGCAGCAGUGAGGAAUAUUGGUCAAUGGGCGCUAACCUGAACCAGCCAAGUCGCGUGAGGGAGGACGGCCCUACGGGUUGUAAACCUCUUUUGCCGGGGAGCAACGGGCGUCACGUGUGGCGCCACUGAGAGUACCCGGAGAAAAAGCAUCGGCUAACUCCGUGCCAGCAGCCGCGGUAAUACGGAGGAUGCGAGCGUUAUCCGGAUUUAUUGGGUUUAAAGGGUGCGUAGGCGGGACGGUAAGUCAGCGGUAAAAAUGCGGAGCUCAACCCCGUCGAGCCGUUGAAACUGCCGUUCUUGAGUGAGCGAGAAGUAUGCGGAAUGCGUGGUGUAGCGGUGAAAUGCAUAGAUAUCACGCAGAACUCCGAUUGCGAAGGCAGCAUACCGGCGCUCAACUGACGCUGAAGCACGAAGGCGUGGGUAUCGAACAGGAUUAGAUACCCCGGUAGUA
rnacentral:rRNA from 1 species